CAAAAUGUAGCUUAAUAAAAGCUCUCCGCUUACACCGGAUAGAUAUCUGUUUAACCCAGAUCAUUUUGA
rnacentral:tRNA from 1 species